rnacentral:lncRNA from 1 species
AUGAGAACUUCAACACGGAUCUCCCAAGCCGGUGGCAGCGGCUCGGGCGAGGCCGCGGACAAACGGCCCUUUUCAGGGCCACCUGAGAGCGCUCCUAGAGCUAGGUCCUUUUCAGGACUCCUAUGCGCCUCCUGUCCCGCCUCCCUGGCACCGGGUGACGGGCACUUGGCGUGCUUUUGGUGCCUCGGCGCCGGCCACGCCGCGGCUGCUAUGGCGGCCCCCGUCUCCUGUGUCGCCUGCCGGGAGCUGCCUGAAGAGGGGAUCCUCUCCAGGCAUCUCUUCUUUUCCCCUGCGGUGGAAAUGGCUGACGCCAUCGACCUAUUCGGACCUGACGUCGACGAUGGCAUCAUCGACGCCUCCCUGGACGACGUCUUCGGCGACUCGGCGUCCGGUUUUUCCCGCUCUCGGGUUACAACCGCCACCGUCAUACAACACGAGGGUCCGCGCCGGAUGACCGAUCUCUUCCGGGAGAUCAUGGGUGAGGCGGCGGCCAUCAAAGGGAUUCCCAUGCCGGCCCCGCCUCUCGCCCCCGUAUCUGACGAUAUGCAGGGCGAGUGCUUUCGCACCCCAUCUUUUUCCCGGCGGGUUACCCAGUGCCCCUUGUUCCCGCCUUUGCAGCACUUGUUUAUUGCUGCCGGUGAGGACCCUUCGACCCUGAAGGCUCCGGUAAGAUCCUACACGGAUUUCACCAACGUGGAGGGGUGGGCCGAUACUCAGGCGAGGGGGAUCCCUCGUCUGGAGCCUCCCCUUGCAGCGCUUCUCUGUCCGGGCGCCGGAUGGCUCCUUAACGAAAAGCCGCUGCCCCCCGACCGCCUCCAGAAGCAGAUUGUCGGCCUAACGGACAGGGUGUUCGUUUGUGCCUCUCAAUCCGCGGCGGCGGUCAACAACAUCGCCCUGCUCUCCUCUGCCAUGGUCUCCUUGUCGGCUGACAGGGAGGCCUACGGCCCGGAGGAAGCCGCGAGAUGGCUGGCGGUUUCCCGCUUUUCCAGCGCCAUCCUCCAGUUAUGCCAGCCGAUAGCCGUUUCGGCCGGCCAGCAUAUGGCGUGGGCUACCAUGAUUCAAAGGGUCAUAUGGCUCUCCCACACUGCGGUGCCGGAACGAGAGCGGGCCAGCCUCGUCCAGGGUCCACUAGCGCCGGAUGGCCUAUUUGGUCCCAGGUUCUCCGAGGUGCUCGCGCACCAGCAGUCAGUCCGUGAGGAUCGUUCCCGGUUCGGGACGAUUCUCACGGGCUCCUCCCGCCAGCAGGCUGAGAGGAAGCGGGGUCUAGGCCGGUCCCAGCGUUCCAUGGGGCCGCCUCCGACUCCAGCCCCGGUGCAGCAGCCGCAGCCGCCGCGCACGGGGAGAGCAGCAGCGCCACGGACCGGGAAGUUCCGGACGCUUGCUCCUACUUUUUCUUACCCUAUUAAAGAAAAGAGUAAAGACCGUUCGGCCGAACGGCAGUACAUGGUACCUAAAGAGCGAUAUUCCCCAGGCCACCUGCGUCCUACGCUUGUGGUGCGCUCCUCCAUGUUGCCUCUUUCCCCCUCUCAGCCCGGUGGCUGUAGGGUGGCGGUCGGACGGCGUGUUCACAUGGCCUCUGGUUCACCUGCUUCUAAGAAGCGGCGUCCCUUGGAGCCUCGUGGACGGAUCAGAGACUCGUUGCACGGUCUCCUGGUUCCCCACAUUAUAGGUGAGGAGAUGGGUCCGCGCGCUGUGGCUACAGCCUGCGGACAGCGCAUGCGCACAGGUGCUGCGGCCGGACGGCUCGCUCCCUGUUCAGCGGGCACGAGCGCGACGUCUAGACAGCUCGUUGUUUUUACAACUGCUAGUUGUGGUACGUCUCCUACGCUCGCUGAGCCUCCUCCCUUUCGUGGGAAGCCCCCCUUGGUUCACACGCAGUUUGAAGGCGGCAGGGGCAGAGGAAUACGGGUUAUUCCUGGACGGUUUUCCUCAGCUGUCGGCUCGCCCUCUCUCCAACCGCUAUGCGUUUUGGCAAGAGCGGUGCGUUCUGCCAUCGUGGUUGGACUCCACGUUGAGAUGGGGCCAUCCCAUACAGUUCAAGCGUCGUCCCCCACCCUUUAUGGGGUUGGUGGAGACCACGCUACGGGACCCGGCUGCGAGCACGGCUCUGGCAGCAGAGGUGGCACGUCUCUUGGUAAAGGGGGCCAUCACUGUCGUUCCCCCCCACGAGUCUCACCUAGGUUUUUAUUCCCGCUACUUCCUGGUUUCCAAGAAGUCAGGGGAAAUGAGACCUAUUCUGGAUCUUCGCGUGUUCAACAGAUUCGUUGCCACGAGGAAGUUCAGAAUGCUCACGGUCGGAGCAUUGUUCCGGUGUGUGAGAGAGGACGAUUGCUUCACAUCCCUGGAUCUCAAGGAUGCUUACUUCCACGUCCCUGUUCGGCAGGCGCACAGGAAGUUUCUCCGCUUUGCCUUUAUGGGGAUGGCGUACGAGUACCAGUGUCUGCCGUUUGGCUAUUCCCUGGCUCCGCGCACCUUCUCGAAGUGUGUGGAGACGGCGUUGGAACCGCUCAGACGUCAGGGAAAGAGGAUUCUCUUCUACCUAGACGAUCUGCUUAUUCUGAGCAACUCAGAAGAGACGCGAGAAGGGACACCAUGUUGGUGAUAAACCAUCUCUCCUUCCUGGGUUUUGCCAUCAACUGGGAGAAGAGCUCCCCGCUCCCCAGCCGGCAGACAGUCUACUUGGGGCUUUGCCUAGACUCAGCCACCAUGACUGCGAUGCUUUCGCCUCCUCGGCGAGACGCCAUCCUGUCGGCGCUCUCCCGUUUUCACGUUCGCAGAAACGUGACCGCACUGUCCACCAUGCGCCUGUUGGGGCUGAUGGCAGCUGCCCACCCCGUGGUCCCCCUGGGUCUGCUUUUUAUGCGCAGACUCCAGCGGUGGUUUGCUCGCCAACGGUUGGACCCCAGGCGACACAAGCUCAGGGUGCUCCUCGUCCCCCGUUCGGUGUCGCCAGACCUGGAAUAUUGGAAAGGACCCUCCGCCCUUCUCAAGGGUGUUCCACUGGGCAGGGUGGCGUCCUACGUAGUGGUCUUCACGGACGCCUCGUUGACGGGUUGGGGAGGAACGUGCCUCUCUCACUCGGUCGGAGACGGGUGGCGCACGCCCCCUACAGCACACAUAAAUGUGUUGGAGCUCGACGCUGUGAGGAAAGUGCUGUUGCAUUUCUUUCACCUGGUGUGCGGCCGCCACGUUCUGAUCAGGACAGACAGCGUGUCGGCGGCGGCGUACAUCAACAGACAGGGGGGAGUCCGCUCCCCUGCUCUCCACCGAAAGGCGGUCGAGCUCUGGCUUUGGGCUCAUCAGUAUCUCCGCAGUCUGAGAGCCCUGCAUAUCGCGGGCGCCCAGAACUUUGGGGCGGACCUCAUGUCUCGAGGCGGUCCCCGCCGAGACGAGUGGCGGUUACAUCCCGACAUUGUCAGACUGAUCUGGCAGAGGUUCGGGACAGCGCAGGUUGACCUCUUCGCGUCCCGGGAGAACACGCACUGCAGGUGGUGGUUCUCCCUCAGCCCUCGGGAUCUUCCCCCGUUGGGGGUAGAUGCGUUGGCACACACACCUUGGCCGCGGGCUCUCUUGUAUGCGUUUCCCCCGCUCCAGCUGAUCCUUCCUCUUCUGGAACGGGUCAGACAGGAGAGACUGUCCCUGAUAUUAGUGGCCCCGGAGAACCGUUCAGCUCUGUGGUUUCCAGAGCUUGCCGCGCUCUCGCGGUCGGCGCCUUGGCCAGUAGCAUUCAGGCCGGAUGCGCUUCACAGGCCCACGGGACGGUGCACCACCCGCCCGAUGUCUCGGGACGGCUGUUGGUUUGGCUCCUGA